UACAGAGGGUGCGAGCGUUAAUCGGAAUUACUGGGCGUAAAGCGCGCGUAGGCGGCUUUGCAAGUCGGGUGUGAAAUCCCCAGGCUUAACCUGGGAACUGCAUUCGAGACUGCAUUGCUAGAGUAUGGGAGAGGGAAGUGGAAUUUCCGGUGUAGCGGUGAAAUGCGUAGAUAUCGGAAGGAACAUCAGUGGCGGAAGCGACUUCCUGGACCAAUACUGACGCUCAUAUGCGAAAGCGUGGGGAGCAAACAGG
rnacentral:rRNA from 1 species